AUCCAGCUGAUGAGUUCCAAAUAGAAGGAGGUGAGCGUCCUGGAU
rnacentral:hammerhead_ribozyme from 1 species